AGAACGAACGCUGGCGGCAGGCCUAAUACAUGCAAGUCGAACGCACUCUUCGGAGUGAGUGGCAGACGGGUGAGUAACGCGUGGGAACCUUCCCAAUGGUACGGAAUAACUCCGGGAAACCGGUGCUAAUACCGUAUAAGCCCCUCGGGGGAAAGAUUUAUCGCCAUUGGAUGGGCCCGCGUCGGAUUAGCUAGUUGGUAAGGUAAUGGCUUACCAAGGCUACGAUCCGUAGCUGGUCUGAGAGGACGAUCAGCCACACUGGGACUGAGACACGGCCCAGACUCCUACGGGAGGCAGCAGUGGGGAAUAUUGGACAAUGGGCGCAAGCCUGAUCCAGCCAUGCCGCGUGAGUGAUGAAGGCCUUCGGGUUGUAAAGCUCUUUUGGCGGGACGAUGAUGACGGUACCGCAGAAUAAGCCCCGGCAAACUUCGUGCCAGCAGCCGC
rnacentral:rRNA from 1 species